AAAGAAACCAACAGGGAUUGCCCAGUAACGGCGAGUGAAGCGGCAACAGCUCAAAUUUGAAAUCUGGCCCUCGGGUCCGAGUUGUAAUUUGUAGAGGAUGCUUUUGACGCGGUGCCUUCCGAGUGCCCUGGAACGGGACGCCAUAGAGGGUGAGAGCCCCGUCUGGUUGGACACCAAGUCUCUGUAAAGCUCCUUCGACGAGUCGAGUAGUUUGGGAAUGCUGCUCUAAAUGGGAGGUAUAUGUCUUCUAAAGCUAAAUACAGGCCAGAGACCGAUAGCGCACAAGUAGAGUGAUCGAAAGAUGAAAAGCACUUUGAAAAGAGGGUUAAAUAGUACGUGAAAUUGUUAAAAGGGAAGCGUUUAUGACCAGACUUGAGCUUGGUUGAUCAUCCGGCGUUCUCGCCGGUGCACUCUUCCGGCUCAGGCCAGCAUCAGUUCGUCGCGGGGGAUAAAGGCAGCGGGAACGUGGCUCCUCGGAGUGUUAUAGCCCGCUGUGUAAUACCCUGCUUUGGACUGAGGUUCGCGCUUCCGCAAGGAUGCUGGCGUAAUGGUCAUCAACGACCCGUCUUGAAACACGGACCAAGGAGUCGUCUUCGUAUGCGAGUGUUCGGGUGUCAAACCCCUACGCGUAAUGAAAGUGAACGCAGGUGAGAGCUUCGGCGCAUCAUCGACCGAUCCUGAUGUUCUCGGAUGGAUUUGAGUAAGAGCAUACGGGGCCGGACCCGAAAGAAGGUGAACUAUGCCUGUAUAGGGUGAAGCCAGGGGAAACCCUGGUGGAGGCUCGCAGCGGUUCUGACGUGCAAAUCGAUC
rnacentral:rRNA from 2 species